rnacentral:lncRNA from 1 species
ACUAGAGGCAUAGAUAUAGUAGCACCUUUUGUUGCAGACCUACCCAGUGCAGCCGCUUGGAGGGUAGCAAGACUUUGCGCAGGUAGUUGACCGGUGGCAGCUAAAGCUUGAAGCUCAAGCCCAUUGAAAGUUGACAUUCCAUAUGUUGCUUCUGGGUGCCCCAUGAAAGAGUUAUUUAGUCCCCUCGGAUGCUGUGAUACACCGCUCAACCUCCUCAGAUACAGCCGGUAUUUCUGCGAUACAUGAUUACCAUUAAUAAGUGCUUUACUAGGAAAUCCGAGAAAUGCUAUUAAGUGCAUGUUGCAAAACAAAGAUUAAGUCUUCCACUAAUCAACUUGAAAAAGACAUUCCAUAUGUUGCUUCCGGGUUCCCCAUGAAAGAGUUAUUUAGUCCACUCGGAUGCUGUGAUACACCGCUCAACCUCCUGAGAUACAGCCGGUAUUUCUGCGAUACAUGAUUACCACUAAUAAGUGCUUUACUAGGAAAUCCGAGAAAUGUUAUCAAGUAAUGUUGCAAAACAAAGAUUAAGCCUUCCACUAAUCAACUUGAAAAAGGGAGGAAGUAAA